UUAGAGUUUGAUUCUGGCUCAGGAUGAACGCUAUCGAUAGGCCUUACACAUGCAAGUCGAGGGGCAGCACAAAGAUAGUAGCAAUACUGUUUUGGUGGCGACCGGCGCACGGGUGAGUAACGCGUAUGCAACCUUCCUACUACUUUGGGAUAGCUCGUCGAAAGGCGAAUUAAUACCUUAUAAUACAGCUACUCCGCAUGGAGUUAUCUGUUAAAGAUUCAUCGGUAGUAGAUGGGCAUGCGUUCCAUUAGUUAGUUGGUGAGGUAACUGCUCACCAAGGCAUCGAUGGAUAGGGGAACUGAGAGGUUUUACCCCCACACUGGAACUGAGACACGGUCCAGACUCCUACGGGAGGCAGCAGUGAGGAAUCUUGGUCAAUGGAGGAGACUCUGAACCAGCCAUAUCGCGUGAAGGAUGACUGCCCUACGGGUUGUAAACUUCUUUUUUAAGGGAAUAAAGUGAGCCACGUGUGGCUUUUUGCAUGUACCUUACGAAUAAGGAUCGGCUAACUCCGUGCCAGCAGCCGCGGUAAUACGGAGGAUCCGAGCGUUAUCCGGAUUUAUUGGGUUUAAAGGGUGCCCAGGCGGGCCAUUAAGUCGGCGGUGAAAUUUUGCGGCUCAACCGUAAAAGUGCCUUCGAUACUGGUGGUCUUGAGUGUGGAUGAGGUAGGCGGAAUUUGUGGUGUAGCGGUGAAAUGCAUAGAUAUCACGAGGAACUCCGAUUGCUAAGGCAGCUUACUAAGCCAUAACUGACGCUCAAGCACGAAGGCGUGGGGAUCAAAGAGGAUUAGAUACCCUGGUAGUCCACG
rnacentral:rRNA from 1 species